AUCUUCAUUCAAAUCCAACAUUGUGAUUCUUAUCCAAAAUUAAGUAGCUGAAUUUCAGUGCACAAUUGUAUAAUGUCUGAUCAAGCAGAUUUAGGUCUUGCCAUGAGCUGCUAAUUGUCUCUCCUGGGACAUUUUAAUUCUGAAUUAGAAUAUUGAAAUAAUAAAAUGCAUGUUAUACUAAAUUAAAUCUUUCCAACUAACACUCCACUUCACAUACAUUUUUAUUGAUGGUGGUUCUUCUGUUUCUUCCACAUUUUACGAUAGUGAGUGGUGACAGUUUAGUGCCAAAAUGUUGGUUCUCUUGUUUUUGGCACAUUCUGUAGUAUAUGUCUUUUUUUGCUGGUGAGCCAGUGUCGCUACUGAACUUUUUUCUCCCGUUUCUUGCACAUUCAGUUACGUAAUGCCUUUGUAGGGCCAUCAAAGAUCGCCUAGCUCCAUGGCCAUCUCAUGGCAAAGCGAAAUGGUGCAGUGCAUGUUCGCUAGCUCUCUUUGUUUUCUUUUUCGUUCCUAGCUACCACGGCAUCGCUUGGUUUUACUGCUUUUAGAAAGAGUUCAACUAAAAUAUUCUAAGUAGUUCAAAUACAAGAGUCGAGAAAAGUACAUAAUUUUGACAAAGCGGGAACAGAGUUUUGACAAAGUGGGAAGAGAGUAGUUCAGGUACUAGAGCACUCCACCAAAAAAUAGUGUUUUAUUAGGUUGAUAGGGGAAGAGAGUAGUCUGGGAUAGCAAGUUCAUUGCACAAAAAAUGCUGUGAAGUUCAUAUGAAGUACGAACAACUAGGUAGAAAGGUUUGCCCAAAAAAUACCUUGGCCAAUUCAUAUGGCAGACACCCUACAUAAAUGUUUUUUCCUUUGUCCACUCCUCUUCCCCAUGAGCUCUAGCGCUGGGGUAAGUACUGCAGUUUAGAAAUCAUCUUCUAUUCUCCCAAAAAAUAAGUUUUUCUUCUAAAGGUUGAAGUGAAUGGGCUACGAAGCUUUAUAAGAAAUUGUUUUAUUUCCGUGUCUACAUUCCAUAGUAGAAGGUGCAUCAUGGUAAAAGCUAGGUUUGGUGUGUAGCCUAGAGUACAUGAGAGCCUCAUGUUCUCUGAACAUAUUUAGUGCAAGUUUUGCUUCUGAAAACUGACAUUCUUCAUCAUGUACUGAUCCGUUUAACCUGUGGAUGUGUUUAAAAAACAAAUGUUUGGCAUGUACUGAAAAUGCCUUGAAAAUGAAGAGUAAAUAGCAUCAGUGAGUUAUAGUACCUAAAUUGUAGAAGUUCAUUGACAGAAAAAUAUCAGCAGAAGUAUCGUGUUAGUUCAUGUUUAGAUGUCGGGCAAGCUAAAAAAUUAGAGCUCGAGAAAUAAAAAUACGUGAACCGCUAGGAAGGUUGCUGGAAACAAAUUCUCUGUUAGUUCACCAGUCCGUUCAUGAUAAGAUAUUCUAUGGAACAUUUGCAAACAGUACAGAUUUUGUUUUUGGAUGUUUUCCGUUGAUCUGUGCUCAAGAAACAUGAGAGUCCUAUUGAUUAUUAGUGAGAGUACAAGCUCACAGUUUGCAAGCCUUUUGUGAUUCUUAAGUGAUCAGAGAGAGUAGCAUAGAAAAACGUUGUUGUGUUCUGGAUGACAAAGAACACAUGCGACAAUAAGUCCAGGUAUUUCUACAUGAGGAGUACACAAUUACUUUUACUGAGAGUUCACUUGAAUCCUUGAUAGCUACUGGCCAUAUGAACUUAACCCACAAAAAUGUGCAAAAAAGAACCAUUUUGUACUACAAUUAGUAUGAUGUGUAAUGUUUUAUUUUUUGCUACCCUAGCAUUGAAUUAGCACAACAUUUUCAAAAGCUGCACUCUCAUUAUUUAUUUCUUGUACUGUUAAUUUUAUUUUGAGAACCGAACUUGUACAGGGUACAUGAGUUCCAAUAGUAGCUUUCGUUGCAAAAAAAUUACAUAAUCAAGCAUUCUUGCUGUGUUACCUUUCUUUCCAGAUAUAUAGAUUGCCAGUUUUGAAUCCGAUUCUCAAAUAGACAAUCAUAAUUCUAUUGCCAGUUCUGAAAUAAAGAAAUGUAUGAGUAACAGUACCAUAACAGCACCAAAACGAAUCCUCAUCAUUGGUAACUUACUGGCUUUGAUCUUCCAGGGCAGUAUUAUGUGAUCCUUGGUUUACUUACAGGUAGGCUAUCAGUUCAAACCUAACACAAAAACUCCUUGCUUGGCAUUUGAGCUCUUGUUUUCUCAAGACUAGUACUAGUACAUGUUAUUUCACUAUGUAUUCUUUCCUCAAUCCACAGAGAAAUGUGCGAAUAGUUCGAUGUGUGUUGGAGAGAUAGUUUUGUUUUAUAUAUCAUAAGAAGAAAAGAUCAUGUUUCCUAAGGGGAAAAUCAAAAACAUUAUUAGCAACUCGCUAUGUAUUCUACCAUCAGUUCUGUGUGUAUUAGAGAGAGGGUUCGGUGUCUCAUUGUUUUCCCUUUCCCAGAAAAAAUGUUUUAUUUCAGAUUAGGAACAUUGUAUUUACAAUUUUUAAAACAAAGAACUAAUAAGGUCAUAUAAGUUCAAAAGACAAAGCGUUGAAAGUUCAACCGAAAGCUCUCACCACUUUCCUUUCUAUUUCCUGAUUAUUGUAGGACAUUUCAAGCACUGAGCAAAAGGGAUUAGGAUAAAUUGCAGAAGUAGUUGUGGGAUGCUUAAGUUCUUUUGACUUUCCUUUCUCUCAUUCUUCAUGUACCGACGAGUUGUUUCAUUUUUCUGGUUUCAAAAGUAGAAGGGGAAGAUGUAGAGGGUGGACUACUCAGGGCUUUGCUGCUGGAGUCGUGGUGUAUUCAUGAGCUCCUGUAGAGCUACCGAUCCAGCGAGCCGCUCAUGUCGAUGAAAUGCAUGCUAAUUAAUUCCCUUGAAAACGCCAUUGGUGACCUCAUUCUUCUUUCUUGACAGGAAACAAGAGGGAGUGUCAACACUGAUACAGGGAGAUGCACACCAAACCUGCCGCCCGAGGCCGUGUACCGUCGCAGCGCCCCUUCCCCAGCCAUCGUGAGGUCAACCUCCUGGGAUACACGAAGUUUCAGUUCGUCGAGAGGCUUCUUGGAGUUGCAGAUUGUAUAUUAUGGCAAAGACUCUAUUUCAAUGGGAGGUUCAACCAGAGGAGUUCAAAACACAAGAACUCUAGGAGCUCGCAAAACAAAAUCUACUAUGAGAGUUUGCACUUGUGUGUGCAGUGCAUGUGUUAGGUGUAUGUUUUUUCGGUAUGAUCUGGACACUGAAGAAAGAAAACACAAGGACUCGGUCCAUGUAUAAUUUUCUACUGUUUUUGCACUAAAAUCUUUGGUCUGAAAUGUAUGAGUUUUGUACAAUUUUUGGUUUUGUAUGUUGUA